GACUGGACAUUCCCGGAAAGAGCCUCUGCCAGGGCACCACAGCUCCCACUGGGACUCGACGUUUCCCAUCUGGAGGAGAGAAGCACGCCGGAAAGAGGGGGUGGUUUGCGGAUCCGGAUCCCCAGGACGGAGCGCUUAGACCCUGCUCUCCCCACUUCCCAGUUCCGACCCGGGUGGUCCCUCCAUCUGGAGAGAGCCCUUCCCCUCUUCGCCGUCCAAAGCCUCAGCAUCCUCAAAGGCCCAGGGGGACGCCUCCCAUCCCCCGGCAGACUACCCCCCGCCCCACUACUCCCUGCCCCGCAGCUGGCCGUUCCCCUUGACCCCUCUCCCCAGCGGCGCCCCUCGGGGCCAAGGGCGAUCGCGGCGGGCGGCGAGGCCUCCGGGACUUUUACGCGCCCCCAGGCAGAGCGGCGCGGCUCGCCCAAGGGCACAGCGCGGGCCAGGGGAGCCGGCCCUCGGACCCGGGCUUCUCGCCCCCACGGCCACUUUGCUCCUGCCGCGGGGACCACGGCCCGGGAGGCGCUGCCUGGAGGGCUCCCGGGCGGGGCGCGCGCUCCCUUCUCGGGCUGGGCUCCCAGCCCAGCCGCCGCGCUCAACUUCGGGUGCCUCUGGGGCGGAGGCGGCGGUCGGGAACCAGCGCGCACAGUCGGUGUGCACGAGAGCGACCCUCCCGAACAGGUGGUCCCGGCGGGCGGCGGCCGAACCCUCCGCAGCCCCUACCCCUUCCUUCUCUCGGAGCGCGCCUCCCCGCCCGGGCCCGGAGUGGCCCCCGGUCAGUGCCCCGGAGCCCAGCCACUCGUACCUCUGGCUCCUGCGGCUCCGGCCGGCGGACAACGCGGCCCCGCGGGCCCGGCGGGCGGCAGGCGGCGGACGGGCAGGGCAGGGAGGCCUGCGGGAGGAGCGCCGCUCCUCAGUCCCGGGGCUGCGUCAGCGCUGCCCCGCCCCGCCCCGCCCCGAGGGGGUCCUGCGAGUCCACACCGCUCCCAGCGCCCGGGGCUGGACCCCCAUCAGCCCGCGGGCCCACAGGUAUGGAGCACUCCCCGUGCCUCCCUGCCUUUCCCCCAUUUAACAGAUGAGCCAAACGAGGCUCAGAGCGGUGACUUCCACGUCAAGCAGCUGGGCAAGGGCAGUAGCGGCAUUUGGACUCGGGCCUGCCUGUUGCCUCUGUACCCCCUUCCUCCAUCGCCGUGUGGUCCCUCCAGCAGGAUUUGUGCCUGCUGCCCACUCCCUCUUCUCUGA
rnacentral:lncRNA from 1 species